rnacentral:rRNA from 1 species
UACAGAGGUCCCGAGCGUUGUUCGGAUUCACUGGGCGUAAAGGGUGCGUAGGUGGUAAGGCAAGUCAGGUGUGAAAUCUCCAAGCUCAACUUGGAAACUGCAUUCGAAACUACCUUGCUAGAGGAUUUGAGGGGGGACUGGAAUACUUGGUGUAGCAGUGAAAUGCGUAGAUAUCAAGUGGAACACCAGUGGCGAAGGCGAGUCCCUGGAAAACUCCUGACACUGAGGCACGAAAGCUAGGGGAGCAAACAGG